rnacentral:rRNA from 1 species
AUACGGAGGGUGCAAGCGUUAUUCGGAAUCACUGGGCGUAAAGGACACGUAGGCGGGUUGGCAAGUCAGAUGUGAAAUCCUACAGCUUAACUGUUGAACUGCAUUUGAAACUGCUAACCUAGAGUAUGGGAGGGGGAGGUGGAAUUAGUGGUGUAGGGGUAAAAUCCGUAGAUAUCACUAGGAAUACCGAAAGCGAAGGCGAUCUCCUGGAACAUAACUGACGCUAAGGCGUGAAAGCGUGGGGAGCAAACAGGAUUAGAAACCCUAGUAGUCC